UUUCUGGGGGUUUCAUGUGCACCGUAUUAAAACCAGGUAAGUGUUACCAUAAGAAUAGAAAAGAAUAUCCUUACACAUCUGUAAGUUGAGCAGCAUUUGAGCUGGAAACUCUUCACAAAUGUUGCCAAACAUUCAACAUUUUGUAAGUCUGCUGAAAUCUCUUCUUCGAGAGCUGACAGAAACAUACAAACAGACACACAUGAAGCAACAUGAAUGUAAAUGUGUGAAUACAGGAGGAGCUCUGACAUCACUGUAGUUCAGUGAGAGACUCAGAGAAAGAGAAACUAACUUGAUCAACAACAAAAUGGACGCCUGAAACAAACUCUUUAAAGAACAGAAUAUUGAGUCGUUCAGAGACCCUUGUGAACACAUCUGAUACUCACAGUUUUAUUAUACAUGUUGUUUGGAUAACAAUACAGAAACACAUGAACGAUGGAACAAGAAAUAAGAGCCGUUGUUGUCGGGUGGCAGAAAUCUGACAAAGCCUUAAUAAUAAACAGCGUUUUAGGAGUUGAGGUCGAGUCUGAUGAAUACUUUGUGAAGUCUGUGAAGAGAGACGGUGAAGUGAACGGAAGGAAGAUAUCUCUGAUCAACACGCCGUGCUGGUGGGAGAUUUAUGGUUUGCAGGAUUCACCAGCGGUUGUCAAACAAGAACUGGUUUGCAGUGUUUUUCUGUGUGAACCGGGACCUCACGUCUUUCUGCUGGUCAUUAAUCUCAGUUUGCCGUUUACUAAAGAAAACAGAUUCAGCAUCGAGAAGCACCUCGGUCUCUUUGGUGAGAGAAUCUGGAGACACACAAUAGUGAUCUUUACAGGAGCCGACAAAUCCAUCGAGCAGCACAUAAAGAAUCAAGGAGAAGAUAUUCAGCAGAUCAUACAGAGAUGUGGAGAAAGAUAUCAUGCCUUUGAGACUGAAAAUAAAAGUGCAGGAGUCCAUGAACUGCUUAUCAAGAUUGAGGAUGUUGUGGCAGCAAACAAUGGGAAGCAUUUUGAAACUCAUGAUGAUGUGCUACUAGAGAUAAAGAAAAACAGAGAAGAAAUAAAAGAAAGAGCAAAAGACAGACAGAAAAUGUUUCAGGACAAAUGAGAAACACUGAAAGAAAUAAAAGAUGAAUGUGUGGCUCCGCUCUCAAAACUGAGGAUUGUUCUGUUGGGAUGGAUCAUGUCUGGGAAGAGUUCAGCAGCGAACACUAUUUUUCAUAAUAAAACAUUUGAAAUAGAAGAUACAAAAAAGUGCACAAAAUAUUCUGGUGUUGUAAAUGACAGAAAUGUGACUGUGUUGGACACUCCAGGCUGGUGGAAGUACUUUGCGCCUAAAUUCAACCCAAAGUUUGCCCAGGCUUCAAUCCUGGAGAGCGU